GUAGGUGGCAAGCGUUGUCCGGAAUUAUUGGGCGUAAAGCGCGCGCAGGCGGGUCCUUUAAGUCUGAUGUGAAAAGCCCACGGGCUCAACCGUGGAGGGUCAUUGGAAACUGGGGGGACUUGAGUACAGAAGAGGAAAGCGGAAUUCCAAGUGUAGCGGUGAAAUGCGUAGAGAUUUGGAGGAACACCAGUGGCGAAGGCGGCUUUCUGGUCUGUAACUGACGCUGAGGCGCGAAAGCGUGGGGAGCAAACAGGAUUAGAUACCCUGGUAGUCCACGCCGUAAACGAUGAGCGCUAAGUGUUAGGGGGUUUCCGCCCCUUAGUGCUGCAGCUAACGCAUUAAGCACUCCGCCUGGGGAGUACGGCCGCAAAGGCUG
rnacentral:rRNA from 1 species